rnacentral:rRNA from 1 species
UACGAAGGAUCCAAGCGUUAUCCGGAUUUAUUGGGUUUAAAGGGUGCGUAGGCGGCUUUUUAAGUCAGGGGUGAAAUCCUGGAGCUCAACUCCAGAACUGCCCUUGAUACUGGAGAGCUUGAGUCCGGAAGAGGUGAGUGGAACUCCGAGUGUAGAGGUGAAAUUCGUAGAUAUUCGGAAGAACACCAGUGGCGAAGGCGGCUCACUGGUCCGGUACUGACGCUGAUGUGCGAAAGCGUGGGGAGCAAACAGG